UGUUUAAAAAGGUGCCUAUGAUUAAGAGAACAGAUUUUUUAAGUUUAUCUGUUAAUGUACAAAUCUCACUCUCAGAAUUUCAUAACCAAAUACUUUGCAUUAUUAUUGCACACACCUGCCAUCACCUAUAGAAGGAAGAACAAAAGUACAUGCUAUAAAAAUGCCAAUUUUACAUGGCAAUGUUAUUUUAUCUGUCUUUCUAAAGGCUGUUACAAAUGAAAAAAAGAUUAAAAUAAUUUUUACAGGUCUAAACAAUGACACCAAAGAGAGAGUAUAACUAUUUUUCCAAUUCAGGCCUUAGUCAAUGUAUGAAUAUCAAAGCGCACUAGUUGGUCUUCCUGUUUAACCACAAACAUGUCAGGUUUGUUUUGUUGACUUUGGAAAGCAUGUAUAUCCGGUUGGUAACAGCUCAAAGGUUUUAGAAUGAAGCCUACAUUUGUGGGUGGCCACAAAUCUUAGCUGAAAAUUGGCUCAACUAUACAGAUGUGACUUAGAAAGGCUGGAUUUAUUGAAACGUUCACAGAUUGAGGUGUCAGAAAAAUUGGGCUUCUGAUGAUUUUUGAAAAUCAUUUAGCUGUUCAAGACUUUGGUUUCUAAACCAUGGAAUUGGCCCACAUGACCUCUAAGCCCCUUCAGCUCUCACAUUCUAGAAUUCUGAUUCUAUAGCAUGUUUAACAAUUGAAGGUAAACCCUCCAUCCAUUCUCUGAGCAGAAGAAAUUCUCCAGUCUUCUGACUGGGGUCCAUAUAUUCUUAUACCAGGUUAAAUGACAGGAGCAUGUCGAAAUAAGAAUCAGAAUGCAAGGAUUUAACAUCCUUUGUGAGCCACAUUCUUAUCUCCAAUGCUCAGCAACAGGGCUUAGAGUGCUAAACAUUUUGAUGCAAUAAUGACAAUACAGUUCACCAAACAAGGCCAAGCUCAGUGGUUUCCAGGAAACUGAAAAGGGAAAGAAUGUGGAUAGAAAUAGCAGAGACUUCAAAUAAUAAAAAGAAAAUGAAUGAAGUUCAAACUGAGAAUCAAAAGAGACACAAUAAAGACCUGAAAAGUGUGAUCAAUGCAUUUGGAAUGACUGGAACCGGGAAAAGAUUCUCCUAACAAUACUAACAAAACAACUUUGAUUCUGGAAGCUGGGAAGUCCAAGAUAAAAGAGCUGGAAGAUUCAGUAUCUGAUCUACUCUGUGUUGCCAUGUAGGUAACCAGCAGGAAUGACAUUUUUGAAGUUGCUGACACCAGAAUCCUCCUACUCCCUCACUCCUCACAUACCAUUGGUCACCAGAAAUAUUCACCAUUCCAGUUGCUAAUACACUCAAGGUGCUUCUUUCUUUCUCACUGCCUUAGUUCAGACCUCCUCAUCAUUCACCAGUAGUUUUCAAACUCCAGUGUGCUUCAGAAUCACCUAAAGAACCUGUGCAAAAUUGCAAACGUCCAGCCUCCACCCAGGAGAUUCUGAUUCAAAAGGUGAGAGAUAAGGUAAGGACUGACAACCUGAAGCACAACUACUUGAGAAUUUGAGAGCUACUGACUUAAGUUACUGCUGGAGCCUUCUAACUGAUCUCCACGCUACCAGUUCACUCCAUCCUUUGCAGAGAAACCACAGAACAUGAUGCAAAGUCUUCAUAGUCUAGGCCCUGCUUAUUUCUUCAGUCUUAACUCCCACUGCUUGAGUCUCAGACUCAAAACCUCAGCAAUAUUCACUGCUGCUCGUUCCCCACCACUCCAUGCCUCCACCUUCCAACUCCUUGUGGAGACUUUAGCCAUUUUGAGCCCAGCUCAUACAUAUCUCCACUAUAAAAUAUUCCCUGACAUACCCAGGAAGGACAAAUUAUUCUCUCAGCCAUGCCACAUGUUCCUUGAUUGUACUUACCACACCGUCACUGCCUACACAGUGACAUGACUGACCCUAUUCUGUAUCUCAAUGCAAACUAUAAUCCUGAAGCUGGAAAACACCACCCAAUAGAUUGUAAUUUUGGUUCUCAGAACUUUGAUCACAACUAAUGUUUGACUGACCUAGUAAUAAGUUUCAACAAAAUUCACACUGUAUAUAAUUCCAAUGAGCCAACUAUCAAAGAGUGCAUCAAUUUCAAGAAGUGAUUCUUUGACAUUUUCCUUCACUCCUCACUUCUGAUAGCUUUCAAUCUCUAGAAGCAUCCAGAGGCUGAAUUAUUAUCAGAAAUAUUAAGGAGGAAUAGUAUCAGAAAUAUUAAGAGGUAAGAAUGAAGGCUAAUGUUAGGGAGGAGUUUGGAAAAAACAGUAUCAAGGUCUCUUUGCAACUCUAAGCAUCCAGCAUUUAUGAACUUCUAUGAAGAUAUAUCUGCUAAGAAGUAGAAUACACCAUGCUCUGAAAAAUGCCCAAAUUGGAUUUCAUUUUUAAAUAAAAAUCAUUUUUAAAAAAAGAAAAAAGUUU